CACCGCACAGCCCGGGCCCGGCCCGGCCCUGCACCGCGCCGCCAGCACCGCACAGCCCGGGCCCGGCCAGGCACGUCCCACGGCUCUGCCUUGGCCCAGGCCCAGGAUCCUGCGGCCUGGCCUUGGCAGGGGCCCCCACAAGGCCGCCUGUCCUCCACAGAGGAGCCUCAGGCCAAGCUCUGCCUGGCUGAAUUCCCUGGAGCAGACGGUUCCCACAGCCCAGCCAGGCCUAGUGCAGGCAGGUCCUGCAGCCCGGUCUUGGCCGGGCCUCUCCCAGGAGAUUUAGGCAGGAGAAGAGCAAACAGGUUCCUGCGGGUGCGGGAGAGAGGCCGCGGCCACCCACGACCACCCACCUUCAUGGUGACGGCUCAGCUGGCAGGGAGAGCAGUCCUGAGCACACAAAAAGCCUGGCUUUAUCACUUUUAGUGUCAUGACCCACAUGAUUGUAACAGCUGGGAGAAGAGAGAAAGCACCUCUGCAAUCUCAGAUUCAACAGAGACCAGCUCCUUCCCUUUGCAGCCAGUGCUGAGGAAGAGUCCUGUUCUGAGAGCUUAAGGUAUGAAUUAGCUCUGAUAGAAAACAGUGUUGGCAGCUGAGCGUGAUGGAUUAACAAGUGUGCUUGCAAGUAAAAUGAGUCAACAAAUAAAAAUAUGUUUACAUGUUUGCUCUUGGGGGGGCCAGGUUAGCUGGCUCCCAUGGUCUAUCUUAUGUGGAGAAGCCGUUACAUUGUGUUUGACAACUCCCGGUAGCGAAGGAACAGUGCGACUGACGCCCUGGGCAUUUACAAGCGUUCUGGUUGUGCAGGAGCGCAGUUGUAGCAGUGGUGGAACCCCCAGCGUUACAGCAGAGUGUGGCAAGGUUAGGAGCGGUGUUAAGUUCCCUACGUACAGAUAUCACAAAGGUCAUUGUAUUUUAAGUCUCUGAUCCUAAAUCUUGUGUAAUCUCUUUCUGUUUUGCACUAGCUGUGCACAGCAGAGUGGGUGGGCUCUGUGUCCUCUGCUGAGUGUUUCUUUGGGGCAGGAAGGCAUUUCAGAGCCAACGCCACCCCCUCCUGCCACAGUUACAGCCUUCUUGCUCUUCUGAAAUGAACAUUCUGUUCACCAGGCCUGCGAGGCCGAUCUUUCCUGCCCAAUUCCUUCGAUGUGCCUUCAAAAAUUCAUGUUUCUUUUUCUUCUCCUGCCUUGCUGCCCCGGAUGGUUUGUGCGGAUUUUUCUCCCUCCCUCCUGCCCACGUGUCUCCUCUCAGGUGGCUCCAGGGCAGCUUUUAGGUACCAUCACUGUUGGUACUUCUCCCGGCUCACCUGUCCUGAAGUAUCUUGGGCAUUCUUGAAUGGGAGGUUGCAGGGCUACAUAAAAUAAUAAUAAAUAAUUAUCUCCCUUCCCAGCAGGUCUGAAUUAGCAUCCUCUUUCUAGAAGAGUCUCUUAGGAUGUUAAUUGUCAUCUGCCCCCUGGGAUGUGUCUCAGUAAACCUUCUCCCAGCAAGGUCUAUUAGCAUGUUAAUGUCCUCCUCACUCCUGGAAGUCUCUUUGUAUCACUGGCUAAUCGUCAAACAGCUUAAUUUACAGACACAAAAUUAAACUGGUUGCAAUUAAUCCACAUUGGCUGGCCGUAGCUGGCAGUGUUGCGGUGGGGGGUGACAGUGGCUGUGCAGACACCAGUGGCUCAUCUGCCCCGCAGAUCCCGCCUGGUGCGGCCGAGCUGCCCAGGAGAUGCUGUGUGGCCGCAUUGCCACCCGUCUCUGCCCCACGGUGGCUCUCCUGGCACGAGGCUGGAGGCUGCGAAACCCACGUUUGUCCCCUUGGAGGAUGUGAGGAGCCUGGUCUGACCCGGGCACGCACAAAAGCAGAGUGCGGAACCACGGGAUGGAGCAACCGCGGCACAGUGUGUUGGGAACCAAGGGGCUGUGGGACCCCCAGUGCCCCCAGCCGCUGCAGGACACCAGCGCCACUUGCAUCCCGCCUCCCCUUCGCUCAAGGCACGUCACACAUCCAUCGAUUUUGUGAUUAGACCUGUUGCUAAUUAGGCGUGAUCUAUUUUUAAAGAGUUGCAUCAUUGAAACGGAAUUACAGGCCGAUGAGAAGCGAAGCAUGCAGUGCAGACAGGACUUCACUGACUCCAGCCAGCCAGUCGGGUUUAACCAUGCCUGCCUUUCAGCUUCACUCCAGCUUCAGUGAAGACAAACCUGCACCCAUUUAAUGAUGCAGGGCAACAAAAGCUGAACAGGUCCCAACUCCAGCACAGACCACCCAGCUGAGUCCAGGUGGGCUCACUGACUGCAAAAGCAGCGUUUCAGGUCUGUAGGGCAGCUGGGCUCUCGCCGUGACACUCCCAGCCAGCAGAUGCAACCCUUGAUGUGACAAAACCAUCCUGAACUGGGAGGACUUGUUAUCUGCAGACACACUGGAGCUGAUUCCUCCUCUCACACGGUGCCUCAGAAGCAACCAGUUGGUGGAACACCAGGCAGGAGAGCUGGGGGGUCCUCGCUGGUGCCAGCACAAAGUAACACCAGGAAUCAAGAGGUUUUGCCCUGUGUGCAGCCAGUGACCACCACAGCCACGUUGCGACUUCAGCUUGGGCUGCGCUGCGUAUGCGGAAGUGAGCGCUGUCCCCUCUGCGUGAGCGAGAGGUGACCUUGGGAAAGGUGGCUUCGGUGGCUGCCCUCAGCCUGGCAACGUGCUCCUCUGGGAGUCAGCCAGCACGCUGAGAAAACAGAUAGAACCUGAUCCAGGCUUGGCCUCGCUGGGCUGUGCUCCAGCCAUGACAUCAUUCAGUAAUGCCACGUGUAUUUACUACAGGGGAAAGGUGCGGGAUUGGACGCUGAAAUCUCUGGUUUAUCGCUGAGCAGGUCAGGAGCAGACAGCAGCAUUAGCAGCCCCAGCCCUGGAAUUUUCAGGCCAAGAGAAAUCAGUUUCUACAGCCAACUCCUAUCUCCUGCUUUCGUGCUUCCUGUAAGACAAUCUUGCCCCUGUUGCUCUUGCCCCCCGAGUCACAGGAAGCUCCUUGCAGAUGCCACCAGCCCCUCAGCUGAGCUCAGGCUCAUUCCAACCCAGCACUGUGCAAACUAAGCGAAUGGAUACCCGGAAUCAGGUGGCCACUGCGCUAUCCACAGACUUCACAUCAAUAAUGAAUCAAAGAAUUAAAUGUAGAGCUGAAACUGCUAGGAGGUAAAGUCAGACUUUUAUUUAACAGAUGAAGGCUCGCUGUGUUACCCACCAGGCCAAGACUCCUCUGGGCAGGACAAAACCGCACAGCUCGGCGCUGGACAGGAGGCCCCUGCGUGUUCCAGCAGCCCUCAGCAGUAUGCAUCUCUGUCAUGUACCAGAUGGGUUUUUUAGAUUACUUCUUUGCAGAUGACAAGUCAAGGUUAAGGGAGAGAUGCUCCCCUUCAGCACAGCAAGGCCAAGUAUCCAGGAAAGCCUUAGGCUCAGCAACAAAGGACACGCUUAAAAGACCACAGGCCUGUCCCUCCAGCACAGCAAAACUCCUCAGCAGGGCGGGCUCUGCUCAGCAGAGAGCCUUUUGUACCAGCCAGCCCCAAACCAUCACACUGUUCCUCCAGGAACAGCUUGGGAUUGCUGCAUGUUCCAGAGCUUCCCACAGCUGUGGCCAGAGCCACUUCCCUCCCUGCUCCUCGGUGCACACAGGGCUGUGCAGCACCCAGACGGCUCCUCCUGAGGGGCAGGGAGGGCCCCCAGCCCCACGGUGAGGCGGACUAAGGGACACUGCGCUGGCGUACAAACUCCUAUCUUUGAGUCAUCUCUGAAGACCAGAGAGUUUCAGACAGGUAGGUGACAGAUGGCGAUAGGCAGGGGAUCCCAGGGACUCAGCCAGUGCCUGAACCGCCUGCCAGUCACGGCUUAUGUGUCACUAGAAAAGCAAAGGAAAUGCAGGCAUGAAGGAGCAACGCUCGACACGGGCACCGCCUGGCUCAGCUUGCAGGGGCAGAGCAGGAGGAGGGAAACUCAAAGGCCACGAAUGAGCAGAUUUUUCUGCGGGAGUGCACUCCCCAGAGAGCUGCUGACGUGCGUGGAGCUCGGGAGAAGCCCUGGAACCCAUCUGUGUGCGGGAGGAGGCUGAAGUCAUCUCCAAACCCUGCAGACUGGAGGAGACCAGUAAGCUCUGAGCGAGCAACUGUCGCUCCACACCCCUGAAAUCCAGAAGCAGGCUAGAAACCUAAAGCCUGUCAUUAGGAAUAAUAAAAACAGUAAUUAGAGCAGGACUGUCACGAGUUCACGCCUAGAACAUCAAUACAAGGCAUUUUCCCAGCAGCAGGGGCCCACUGCCCUCGGAAAGCAUCCUCCUCCAGGCAUGCAGAAGGCCUAAACCUCCACAGACUUACUGUCCGCACAGGCGUAACGUCCCUUGGGAACCACAUAAAUAGAUUUACUAUCUACAGGAGCAGCUCAGAGCUUUGAGAGGCCCAAAAAUGCUGCUGCUGUGCAGGCCAAGCGUGUGGUGUAGCAUGGGAGCUAAAUCAGGCCUUGGUGCUUCCCUGGGCUGGUACUGGACUCAGCUGAUGACACUGCAAGCUGCACUGAGGAGUUAAACCUUCAGAAGAAUGCUGAUUUUGAUAUGAGUGAGCUGUUGCAUUAGUUCAGCCUUAUUAUUUAAUCACAUCUCCUAGAUCUGUGAGCAACCACCUCAUUAUAAAGCAGGUGAAAGCCCUGUUUUCUGUUUCUUAAUGGCAUCACAGGCAGGAGGGCUUGUCUUAAGUUGCAGUUGUCCUUUAACAACAAGAAAAAAAUACAAGGAUGGCUUAAGAGUAGUUUUAUUUAAGAAAAAUGAGAUAGUGUGCAGAGUUAGGGAGGUUUCUGCUGCAGUACCCAGAGCACCAGCUCUGCUCCUUGCUGGCUUUCCAAAUGGCUGCUUUGUUUGCCAAAACCAUCUCUCUUCAUAAUGACAUUACCUAAAACAUAAGCCAAGCUUCAAGUAAAGGUUCUUCUCAUAAAGAUCUUCUAAAGUUUUAUUCUCCUGGCCUCUCUGAUGUUGGCACUGAGUGGUCACACAGGAUUUACCCUGACAUCUGACCGCAGCUGUCGUAAAUCACACAUUGUCUAAUCUAUUAAAAAUAGUUUCCCGUCUUCAUGUUCUGAUAGGAGCCGAAGCGGCAGAGAACGGCCCCCACAGUAACACACCGCGUAUUUUUGCUCAUAUAAUUGAAAUGACAGGAGCUCAGCUGAAGUGGUGAGAUAUGAACUUGGUUACCCAUGGGCUGCAAAAGCCGAUGAGCACCUGAUACAGGUGCCAGUGCCAGAGAUAGACAAGGAAAAGAGUAACAGAACAAGGACCAAAGCUCACAGAGCUCUGUGCCCAACAUUAGUGUCCUUCUAGUUUGCUGUGACAGACAGAAAUAGGCCUGAAAACACAUUACCCAAGUGGCCUAAUUUCUCUGCCCUCACACAACGUUCUCUUUCCUCCUCAGCACUAGAAUAUUUGUUUUAUUUUAGGAUUUGAGAGCUCACAACCUUUAGUGAAGGAUAAAGGUGCUCAACAACCAACUCUAAGGUUGUUUGUUUCUUUUUUUCCCUCUUAAGUAUUACAAUGAAGUUGCAAGGAGCAAAAGCCAUCCCAGGGUAACAAAACCAAGCAGGUUAAACAUUCUUGUCACAGAAUUCUCACCUAGAGAAAACACGGAACAGCCCAAAUUGAAAUCAUCCCCCCCUACUCCCACUGUUCACUUUCUUUCACCAAGUACUUUUAAUGUCCCUCCCUGAAAUAGGUUGAUAAUCCACGCUGUUGCAUUCAAACAAAAAAAAGGUCAGGAUGACAGAGAAAGCAUCUAGCUUCCACCUCAGCUCUGGAUCUUUGACCUGGAUGACAUUCAUGGUUGUCAAUGAAGCUGUUACAGCGAACUAUAUUUAGGAAAUGAAAAAACGUGUAUCCCCUCUCAUCUACUAGCUCAGAGGCACCAGGGAGGCAAACACUUAUUUUCAGCGAAGUAUGACAAGAAAGCUAAUGAAAGGAAGGACAAAACCACCCCAACAACCUUUCUUUUGACUGGUUUAGUAGGUCUUAUGGAGGAGGAAGAUGAGUAGAGAUAAAGACUAAGCCUAAGUAGAACACAGGACCAGCUUAACAGGCUCAGAAUAAAACUCUCUCAUGCUGUUAUUUAACAGCAAAGUUGGACACGUGCUCCUGAGCUGCUCCUGCAUCGCUGCCCAGCCCAGCAGAGAGAUUUUUCUUCCCAGGGGACUCUUGACAUCCUCAGCACAUGAGAACAGUCCUUAAAGCUGCCAAAUGUGCAACUGGACGUGGAAUUGCAGAUGCAGUUAUGGGCCACACUCUUGGAAGAAGGGGAGUUAAAAACCCAGAACGAUUACUGAUGAGGUCACUGGUAGAAAUAGUUUGAGAGCUGCUGCCCCAAGGGUUCCCCAUCCCCAGCAACCAAAACAAACCCCAGUGACGCAGCUGCACAGGCAGCUGCCACCCACACCACGGCACCUCGGCCACCCGCUCCGGGUGCAGAGCCGCGCACGUGUCCCCAUUUGGUACCUGCUGUGACGAUCUGCUCUGUAAACAGGAUUCGUCCCUGGGGAUUGCACAGAACGUGCUUUACCCUGAGGAAAUAAAGGGGCUCUGGCACUAGGUGUUUGGUAUGAAAUGCGGAUACACAAUGAACGUUCCAGUCCUGCAGAAGGGUCACGCUGAGCUCAGGGCAGCUGCGUUUGAGUAUCAGGAUCUCCCAGCACUUCUGGAGUUACCGUAGCGCUGGAGACCACAAACGUAACCGGCAGGAACAGCGCGGCUGUCCGGAGACACGAUGGCCUCGCUGUGGCUCGAGGCCCAGCGGCAGCCGGACAGGACGGGCACCGGCUGCAUUUGCUCCGGUGCAGGAACUGCGGCGUCACGUGUCUGCUGGUCUGCACGGCACUGGCAAGCACGACCACGCUUCCUUCUGCCACUUCCACGAGCCCAGUGGGACAAAGGCAGGCACCUAAUCCAGCAAAAGCAACUAUCCUUGUCUGCAGAGUCACGAGUUUUGUGGUUUAGAAGAGACCCCGUAAAUAAAAACACAAUAAAUAAAUAAAAGCACAAAGGAUU